UACGGAGGGUGCGAGCGUUGUCCGGAAUCACUGGGCGUAAAGGGCGCGUAGGCGGCCCUGGCAGUCGGUGGUGAAAGCCCGUGGCUCAACUGCGGGUCGGCCACCGAUACUCCAGGGCUCGAGUUUGGUAGAGGCAGAUGGGAAUUCCGGGUGUAGCGGUGGAAUGCGUAGAGAUCCGGAAGAACACCGGUGGCGAAGGCGGUCUGGCUGGGCCAAGAC
rnacentral:rRNA from 1 species